rnacentral:piRNA from 1 species
UUCACAGUGUUGGUGCUAAUGAGGCCAGGU